ACUCCCUCCUACCAUGUAGCACUGACGUAUGAUGCUAAACCUGUUUCCCUGGAACACAUAGGAACCAGACUUGGGCAAGGAAGGUCAAAGUGAAAUGAAAGCACCAGUGCUCAUCUCAAGCUUUGUUCACAGUUCUGCAACAGGAGAAGCACUGUGGAGAAAGUGGCAGCUGUCUCUGUCCCAGUUCCUCAGGUGAUCCCCCUUGGAAUCCCUCUUCCAGGGAAGGCUAACCAUGAAGUAGACACAAAUGCUCUUCUAGAAAUGAAAUCAGGUCUGAAUGAGAGCUUUGAAUCCAGAUGGCACCAUGUCUUGAGUGCAGACAUCUGCUGCCAGUGAAUACACCCACUUGCACUGGACGUGAGUCACCAGUAGCUCCACAGGUGCAUCCCCAGACCAACAUCUGCAUAAAGGUAAUUGAGAAUAAAUCUAACAGAAGAGCAAUUUACCUCCUGGCGUGCAUGUUUCUAACAGGUGACUUCAUUAAAAGUAGCUUGAUCCAGC